GUUGCUGGCUGGUUGCUGCCUGGUUGCUGGCUGGUUGCUGGCUGGUUGCAUAAUGACCGAGCUCCCAGUGGUUUUCAGUGAAUAGUCCAUGUAAUUAAAGCUGGUGUUUAAAGCGUGUGGGAGCUGAAGCAGCAGUUAAUCAUUGUGUGAGAUCACAGCCGAGUGCUGAACAGCUGUAAAUCCAGCAGCGCAACGAGCACAAUUACUCAACACGACGGCAACGAGACACGCUCCCUGGCCAGUUUAUUAGGAACACUGAUGAAUGCAUGCUGACGGAAAUAAAUCUGGUCUUCGUGAAGGCUCCUGGUGAAUGAAAAGAACUUUCUCCAAAUCGUGGCUAAAGCUGCACGUUAAAGUCUCAGCAUCUCAGUGAUGAGCACGUGGGAACUUCUCGUGUGUCGCAGACGUCAUUUUGGCCCCAUGAACAUCACAAAGGGCAGAGACGCACCAAGCUAAGCAAUGUUUUUCCUGUGUCCACCAUUUUUGGUGCUAAUUGGACCCAUAUC